GGGUGAUUAGCUAGCUGGGAGAGCACCUCCCUUACAAGGAGGGGGUCGGCGGUUCGAUCCCGUCAUCACCCACCA
rnacentral:tRNA from 3 species